rnacentral:lncRNA from 1 species
GGACUGAACUUUUGUGAGUUUUGUAACCACGUUAAUGAAUGAUCAAAGUGAAUACUUCUGAAACUUUUGGAGAGCGUCUUUACGAGGGUUUAGAAAGUGGGGCUUCUAAUUUGUUGGCAGAAUGAGGUUAUUUUAGGCCGUUGCCUUGUGUUUUCUCUGCGUAAGGUUGAUAUUCUAUCCUGGAAUUAAGUUCCUCUGCUACCAUACAAUUGUGGCAGGGCAAGAUGACUGC